UCAGGUGACUCCGCGGCCGGCCACCGCCGCCGCUGAUUGGCUGGGACAGCGGGCGGCAGGACUCGAGGGGGCUGAGUGAGUACUGACAGCGAGACGCGGAGAGGUGACAGCGGGCGCGGUGUGAUGAAGAUUGCGGUGAUAAUCUGAUUGUCGAUAAUAUCAGUGAUCGGGUGCUGAUCGUUCAUAGCACCGGAGAAGAGAUCCGACGUCAGCUGGUGAACUGGGGAUUCGAGAGGAUACAUCCGAAAUCACACAGAUGAUGCGGUGAAGACGUGAAGCCGAGGUUCCAGAAUCGGCUCAGAGAUGGCGACUGCUGCCAGCGGCCGCUAUGGCCCCUAUGCUGCGGGAGGUGGUGUGGUGCCCACCACCCGGCGAGCGCCCAGUCGGGAGAGCUACCUGCAGGCGUCCCGCUCGGACGACCAUCUGGAUGCCUCCUGCCAGGUGGACAUUUCGCACGAGGUGAUCUCGUACGACUCUGACACGGAGAUGGGCCGCCGGCGGACAGAGCUGACGCGCAACAAGCGCGGCACGCCCGUCUACUCCAAGGAGGACAUCCGCGAACAGUACUGCAUCAACGAGAAGGAGGUGCACGUGCUGGAGCGGCUCACCUCGCGCUCCAUCCUCAACUGCUUCUCCGAGCGAAAUCCGAGCCCCUGCAAGAAGCAGAACCUGCUGACCUCCUGCUACAAACGAAAACGAAAGUCCGACUGCCCGGAGGACUCGGCCCGUCCCCUGCCGCGGCCGCAGCGUACCUGGCAGGGCUCCGAGCGAGACUACGACGACGACUUCUUCCGACGGCGGCCCAGGGUGUUCUGCUACACAGACCCGAAGCGCUACACAUGGACGGAAGGAGACGUGGCGAGGGGGCGACUGCGGCCCCACUCGCCCCCCGAGUCCGGCUGGCCUCCAUCCGCCGCCGGCGGGCCCCUGGCCGCCCGAGACGGCAUGCUCACCGGUCCGGGAGUGCCACGACACGCCGACGGACGCAGGCGAAACGGCAGCGCAGAGGACCGGCUGGUUCUCACCCAGCCGAGCAGCCCCGACCUGAGCUCUGCCCGGUGGAGACACGCCAGCCACGACCAGGGUCUGGAUGAUCGGCAUCAAAAGCACGUCAGCUUUGAACAGCACAUCUUCAGGUCCCAGACAAUGUCGAGUAUAGACGACACGGUGAAUGGAGGCCAUCCGUCCCAGGUCUCGCUUCCGGGACGGACUCUCAACAGGAGCCAGGAGCGGCUGCUGGACGGGCGGCGAACACCCGAUUACAUGGAGGAGAGUUGCAAUCUGUUCGGGCCCUUCCUGACCAAGGCGCUGCUGCAGGAGAAGAUGAAGCGGUCCUCCAUGCGAACCCAGUCGACACAGACAGAUCUGAACUCCACGGCCGAGCCCGCGCCGCCCUCCUAUCUCUCGCUGUCGCCGAGAACCGUGCACAAGAGACUGCGCUCGCAGGAGGCGCCGCCGCCGCCGCGGGCCCGCUCGCACCGGCCGCUGACCAAGAGCCACUCGGAGGUGGGCGAGCGGCCGGGGCCGGCGCUGCGGCGCCGCAGCCCGCCGCCGGCCGAGCUGAGCCGAGCCGUCUCCUCGCCGAUCACGACCCCCGACUCGCCGCGGAGUCCGCCGCCGCCGCUGCCGCUCUCGCUGCCACCGCCGCCGUCGCCGCCGGCCCAGGACCGCUCGCCGACCACUCAGGAGAUCAUCAUCGACUACAAGCCGUGCGAGCGGCCGUUCCCGCUGCAGAAGACGCUCUCCGAGGGUGAGAUGCUGUCGGAGCGGCGAGGUAAAGAGCGGACGGCGGCGGCCGAUGUUGAUCUCGCGCGCGGGGGCGCCCCUCGCCAGUCGGUCAUUGACAAACUGACCGUGUCCGAGUCUGAUCUGCUGGAGCCGAGUGGCGGUCGGCUGUGGGCGCACGAGCAGAUGCAGCGCUCCGCCGCCGAGCUGCCGCCGCCCCCGCCGCCACGAGACUAUGAUGACGAUGAGUUUCACGAGAAUCUCAUUGAAAACCUGCUGUGCGAGGCAGUACCGCAGGCGGAGCCCAUGUCAAGCGACAGCGAGGCGGGCGAGGUGGGUCACGAACCCGGCUCACCGCCGCGCUCUACUCUAACCCUGACCCGCGACAGCCUCAGUGAGUCGCAGGAGACGGUGCUGCACGUGGCCGGUGAUACUCCGCUGCCGCUGCCCUCGGACUCUGAGGCGAGCACGCCGGCCGCGCUGGUACCGCCCCCUCCCCCGCCCCCGCCCCCGCCCGAGCCGGAGUCGGGCUCCGACUGCGACUCGCCGGCGGGCGGCGGCACGGGAGGCACCGACAACGGCGCGCGCUCUUCGGCCUCUGGCUCUGUGCCCUCCCUGGCGCGCGAGGAAGCGCUGGUGCUCAAACAGCUGGACGCCAUCAGUACGGAGCUGGACCACCGUCUGGCCUCGCCCGAGGAGCUGAGCCGACUCAGCCCGCCGCCGCCGCCCCCGCCGCCGCCCCCGCUGGAAGGCUGGAAAGACGCCAGUCCAGCUCCUAGUCAGGUCUCUUCUGUCAGUGAGGGUGACGAAGAUAGAAAGUUGGAUAAGUUUAUGCGUACGCUCAAUGACGGUUUCGAGAGUGAUGUGACGAUCACGGCCGAGAAGCGAUCGAAAAGGUCGCCGCUGGGCCGGUCGGCGGCGCCCAGUGGCUCCUCAUCGGCCGAGAGCAGUCAGCGGCGGCCGUCAGCCUCUCAGAGCGGCGGCACUGUGACGGGUGACGCCGCCGCCGACGGCAUCCGACCGCCGUCGCGGGUCGAGUCGCUCUCCUCGGCGUCGUCGAUUGUCGGCUCGGAGGCCAGCUGGCGCCGAGGCGAGGCCUCCGACGGCAGCGGAGUGUCGGACUCGACCCGCAGACAGCCGUCCGUAAAACGGUACUCGCGCUACUUUGAGGAGGACGCCGCCGGCCAGCUGGUCGAGGUCGACACUCCCGGAUCGCUCGCCUCGUCCUCCCCCGACAAGCGUGCCGGAGGUAGUGAGCAUCGGGCUAAUAGCUUGACGCGCCGUCAGCUCUCCAAGCAGUUCAGUGUGGACGAGCCGGAGCGUGCGGGCCGCGCGCUGAGUCUUCAGCUGAGCUCCGGUGGCCGCUCUCGGCGGAGGGGAGAGGACUCCACGGCCGGGAGCAGGAGGGACGCGCCCUCCGACCUCCAGGAGGAGACCGGGGAGAGUGCCGCCGAUGACGUCAGCUCCCGCGCCGAGCGCAGUAAGACGGAUGAGCGCUGGACCAAGCGCGGCGUGGGGGUCACCAGUGGAAUGGUGCGCAGUCCGGCCAUGCACGACGGCUUCCGCGCGGCCGACUGGAGCAUAGUGCGCACCCCACAGACUCCCGACAAGCCCCGACCAGGUGUGGAGGCGGCCGCAGAGCAGAACGGUGCCACCGAAACGCCUCGUAAACGUGAGAAGAAGCACAAAAAGCGCUCCAAAGAGCGCACCGUGAACGGAUCUCGGGAGGACUCGGGCAGCCGGAGUCGGGAGCGCACCAGCAGCCGGCGUCACACCAAGCACCGCUCACCGAAGCGGCGCUCCACGGCCUCGGAGCCGUGCGCGCCGGCUCCGGCCGCUCCGGAGACGACGGUGUCGGCCCGGCCACCGGCCAGCUCCAGUACCGACCUGCGGCCGGAGGCCGGCGGCGGGCUGGCGGCCGAGUCGGUACGCUCGGUCGGCCGUGCGGUCAGUCCUGGCAGUGACAGCGUGUUCGCGGCCGACUGCUCGCCCGAGAGGACCGGAGCGCUGCGCACCGCGCGGCUGGACGCCGUCUCGCGCUGUCCGUCCGAGCGUGCCCAGUGCGCCAGCUGCGGCGAGCGGCUGCGGACGCCAGAGGCGGACCGGUCGCGGAGCGCCUCCGGUGGUGACGGUCGGCCGGCCCCGUCAGGUGAGCAGGACGCCCAGACAGAACGGCCGGCGGCGGAGGCGGGGUCAGGGACCCGGAAAGACGCCAGUGUCAGAACCAGUGAGAUCAAACAGGCGGGACAGGCAACGGAGGUGAAUGGUGCUGUGGUUAGACCAAGUGAAGCGGUGGGUACGGAACCGCUGGCCGUGACGGCGGAUCAGAAACAGGCCACUGCACCUGUCCAGGACGGCCUGGCGGAAAGCUCAACCGCAGAGCACAGUGCCAAACAUAGGAAACGCGAGAAGCGCCGUCAGGCGUCCACAUCGGAGCAGCCUCCGGCUAACAACCGGACAGAGACCGCGACUGAAGUGUCGCCAUUGCCUGCGACUGAGGUGGCAGCAUCAGGGGCUGCCGGCGGCACUGCGCCCCAGGAGCCGGCCGCUGGAGGCAAACAGCCCUCCCAGCCGCUAUCUAAGCUGUCGGCCGUAGACGCGUCCACCUCUGUGAGGCAGCAGCCGCGCGGCUCGAGCCGGCGGCGCCGCUCGGGCCGGCCGGACCGCGGCGCCUCGGAGGAGCGGGUACUGGAGCCGCCGCCGAGGCCGACCGCCGACAGCUGCAGGGCCCGCUCGGAGGAGCGCUGUGGGGACGACUGGAGGCAGCUGCAGCCCAGUCCGCGGGCCAGCCAGGACUCGCUCUCCCGUCCGACGGACGCGGCCACCCAAUGUACCAUCUCGGCACGAGACCUUCCCGACGAGGAAUCCGGCCUGUACAAGGGCCACUUUCCGGCCGCCCGCUGGCUCUACAUCGGUACCGAUGAGGAGCUGCGAGUGUGGCGGCGCGCUCCCCGACAGGCGACCCUAUCAGAGGAGCCGACUGCGUCGACACCGCUCGCCCGGUGUCCCUCCACCGAGUCAACCGAGAGUGAGCGGGAGUUCCGGCGGCGCUACCAGGCCAUCUCUCACAGGAUGGUGCACAGAAAGUCGUCCGGACACAUGUUCACCCACUCGGCCGGCGGCACGUUCGACCCGGGCCUGGAGCCGGCCUCCCUCCGUCAGCGUCUGGAGGCCACUCUCCGGCAGGCGGCCAUCACCUGCGCGCGGCUCCACUGCAGUCUGGAGACGCGCCUGCGCCCGCUGCGCCGCCUAGCCGGCGACAAGACGGUGAUGAUGCAGAAGUGCAGCGGCGAGUUCGGGUUCCGCAUCCACGGCUCCCGACCCGUGGUCGUAUCGGCUAUCGAGCCCGGCACGCCAGCGCAGCUGUCAGGUCUGCAGGUGGGCGACAUCAUCGUCUCCAUCAACGGCAGCCGGGUGCUGGACUCGAGUCACGGUGAUGUGGUCCGGAUCGCGCACGCCGCCUCCGACCAGCUGCAGCUCGAGGUGGCCAGCACGGGCUCUGUGCUGCCGGUGCCGGCCGACUGGAGCUGCCGCCGUCAGGGCUGGCUGUGGCGCCGCAGCGGCCCGGCCGGUGUCGCCCCAUCCGGUACCGCCGCCGACUGGAGGCGGCGCUGGGCCGUCCUGCAGCCGGACGCCCUGCUGUUCCUGUACAAACGAGCCGAGGACGUGCACCCGGUGCUGGGGCUCAGCCUGGCGGACUGUUCAGUCACUGCUGGUUCCGACUGCGGCCGAGAGAUGGCGUUCACAGUGCGCGGCGCCGGCUCGGAGCCGGUAGCGCUGGCUGCUGAGACAGAGUCCGAGAGGGACGACUGGCUGGAAGCGCUCCGUUCUGCUGCUGAGGAGGCUGCCGCGACUCGUGUGCGACUAGCCCGCUGCUGCACUUGUGUGGCUGACGCCGGUGCCGCCACAUUUAAACGCCACCAUCAGCUCGGCAUGGCGCCCUGCAUGACACCCUGUGGCCGUUCAAGCGGCUGAGUCCGGCUCGGCUGCUGGCUGUGGCAGCUGCCGGCUGUAGCAGCUGCCGUCAGUGUGGCAGCUAUCGACUGCAGCAGCUCUGAGGGCGGCCGGUGGCAGCUGGAGGCCCGCCGGUUCGCUGCCGGACCGCCCGACCUCAUCCCGGCACCCGACUGCUGCGGCUUCCUC
rnacentral:misc_RNA from 1 species